GGUAAGUUUCACCCACAUGGUAAGUUUCGCAACAAGCAGCAGCGUCGUUUGAAGCAACAAAUUUUAUGAUGUUUUCUCAAAAUACAAUUGGUAAUUUCUACUUUAUUUCUUCCAACGAGGAAAUGUUAAAAACGAUUCGUGAGGAAAUCAUUAAGAAUGGGUCAUCAAAAAACGUGCCCCGCCCCCCGGAUUCCGCGGAUGCAUCGGCUCCAGAAGUGGCCAAAAAGAGGCAAGAAGUGGCCAAAAAGAGGCAAGAAGUGGCCAAAAAGAGGCCAGAAGUUUCGCCGGAGAGGAUCGCGGUAACUCCUCGGAGGUCGCCCAGUCCCCUUGGAGAAUUAAGUAAUGUAAUGAGUCCUUUGCCGAAUCUUCCGAGCCCCCCCC